rnacentral:rRNA from 1 species
AUUGAACGCUGGCGGCAGGCUUAACACAUGCAAGUCGAGCGAGCGGCGGACGGGUGAGUAAUGUCUGGGAAACUGCCUGAUGGAGUGGGAUAACUACUGGAAACGGUAGCUAAUACCGCAUACCAUCAGAUGUGCCCAGAUGGGAUUGGCUAGUAGGUGGGGUAAUGGCUCACCUAGGCGACGAUCCCUAGCUGGUCUGAGAGGAUGACCAGCAACACUGGAAAUGAGGCGCGGUCCAGACUCGUACGGGAGGCGGAUGUGGGGAAUAUUGCACAAUGGGCGCAAGCCUGAUGCAGCCAUGCCGAGUGUGUGAAGAAGGCCUUCGGGUUGUAAAGCAAUUUCAGCGAGGAGGCGGUACUCGCAGAAGAAGCACCGGCUAACUCCGUGCCAGCAGCAGCGGUAAUUC